GACGAACGCUGGCGGCGUGCCUAAUACAUGCAAGUCGAACGCAGUGGGGACGGGUGAGUAACACGUGGGUAACCUCCCAUCAGAGGGGAUAACACUUGGAAACAGGUGCUAAACCGAUACGGAUGUAUGGACCCGCGGUGCAUUAGCUAGUUGGUGGGGUAACGGCUCACCAAGGCCACGAGGCAUAGCCGACCUGAGAGGGUGAUCGGCCACACUGGGACUGAGACACGGCCCAGACUCCUACGGGAGGCAGCAGUGGGGAAUAUUCGACAAUGGACGAAAGUCUGACCGAGCAAUGCCGCGUGAGUGAAGAAGGUUUUCGGGUCGUAAAGUUCUGUUGUUAGAGAAGCGGUAUCUAACCAGAAAGCAACGGCUAACUACGUGCCAGCAGCCGCGGUAAUUC
rnacentral:rRNA from 1 species